UGGGGAAUAUUGCACAAUGGGGGCAACCCUGACCGAGCAACGCCGCGUGAGUGAAGAAGGUUUUCGGAUCGUAAAGCUCUGUUGUAAGAGAAGAACGUGUGUGAGAGAGGAAAGUUCACACAGUGACGGUAACUUACCAGAAAGGGACGGCUAACUACGUGCCAGCAGCCGCGGUAAUACGUAGGUCCCGAGCGUUGUCCGGAUUUAUUGGGCGUAAAGCGAGCGCAGGCGGUUUAAUAAGUCUGAAGUUAAAGGCAGUGGCUUAACCAUUGUUCGCUUUGGAAACUGUUAAACUUGAGUGCAGAAGGGGAGAGUGGAAUUCCAUGUGUAGCGGUGAAAUGCGUAGAUAUAUGGAGGAACACCGGUGGCGAAAGCGGCUCUCUGGUCUGUAACUGACGCUGAGGCUCGAAAGCGUGGGGAGCAAACAGG
rnacentral:rRNA from 1 species